UGGGCUAGAGUGUGGGAGAGGAAGAUGGAAUUAGUUGUGUAGGGGUAAAAUCCGUAGAGAUAACUAGGAAUACCAAAAGCGAAGGCAAUCUUCUGGAACACUACUGACGUUGAGGCGCGAAGGCGUGGGGAGCAAACAGGAUUAGAUACCCUGGUAGUCCACGCAGUAAACGAUGAAUGUUAGUCGUCGGGUAGCUAGUCUAUUCGGUGAUGCAGCUAACGCAUUAAAUAUUCCGCCUGGGGAGUACGGUCGCAAGAUUAAAACUCAAAGGAAUAGACGGGGACCCGCACAAGUGGUGGAGCAUGUGGUUUAAUUCGAAGAUACGCGAAGAACCUUACCUAGCCUUGACAUAUAUUAGAACAGACCAGAGAUGGACUGGUGCCUUCGGGAGCUUUUAUACAGGUGCUGCACGGCUGUCGUCAGCUCGUGUCGUGAGAUGUUGGGUUAAGUCCCGCAACGAGCGCAACCCUCGUCACUAGUUACUAACGGUUCGGCCGAGGACUCUAGUGAGACUGCCUUCGCAAGGAGGAGGAAGGUGAGGACGACGUCAAGUCAUCAUGGCCCUUACGGCUAGGGCAACACACGUGCUACAAUGGCCAGGACAAUGAGACGCGAUACCGCGAGGUGGAGCAAAUCUAUAAACCUGGUCUCAGUUCGGAUUGUAGUCUGCAACUCGACUACAUGAAGCUGGAAUCACU
rnacentral:rRNA from 1 species